GGAGGUUAGUGCAAUGGCAUAAGCCAGCUUGACUGCGAGCGUGACGGCGCGAGCAGGUGCGAAAGCAGGUCAUAGUGAUCCGGUGGUUCUGAAUGGAAGGGCCAUCGCUCAACGGAUAAAAGGUACUCCGGGGAUAACAGGCUGAUACCGCCCAAGAGUUCAUAUCGACGGCGGUGUUUGGCACCUCGAUGUCGGCUCAUCACAUCCUGGGGCUGAAGUAGGUCCCAAGGGUAUGGCUGUUCGCCAUUUAAAGUGGUACGCGAGCUGGGUUUAGAACGUCGUGAGACAGUUCGGUCCCUAUCUGCCGUGGGCGCUGGAGAACUGAGGGGGGCUGCUCCUAGUACGAGAGGACCGGAGUGGACGCAUCACUGGUGUUCGGGUUGUCAUGCCAAUGGCACUGCCCGGUAGCUAAAUGCGGAAGAGAUAAGUGCUGAAAGCAUCUAAGCACGAAACUUGCCCCGAGAUGAGUUCUCCCUGACCCUUUAAGGGUCCUGAAGGAACGUUGAAGACGA
rnacentral:rRNA from 1 species